GCCAGUUGCGAUGAUGAUAUUUGUGUUUUCCCAGCUCACUACGAGGCCUUUCGCAAGGUCUGGGAGUAUAACUUCUCACAUCUAUCUGAGCUUUCC